rnacentral:misc_RNA from 1 species
UCCGGUUUAUCACCGGCAGUCUCUGCAGAGUGCCCAGCAUAACCUGAUGGCAACAGCAGACAAGGGUUGCGCUCGUUGCGGGACUUAACCCAACAUCUCACGACACGAGCUGACGACAGCCAUGCAGCACCUCUACGAGUGUCCUUGCGGAAGCUCACUUUCAUGAGUGGUCACUCGCUGUUCAAGCCUGGGUAAGGUGGGGAUGACGUGUGCGUAACAGAA